rnacentral:rRNA from 1 species
UACGUAGGGGGCAAGCGUUGUCCGGAAUUAUUGGGCGUAAAGAGCGUGUAGGCGGCCAGAUAAGUCCGCUGUGAAAUCUCGAGGCUCAACUUCGAGCUGUCGGUGGAAACUAUCUGGCUAGAGUCCGGAAGAGGAGAAUGGAAUUCCUGGUGUAGCGGUGAAAUGCGCAGAUAUCAGGAAGAACACCCGUGGCGAAGGCGGUUCUCUGGACGGUACUGACGCUGAGACGCGAAGCGUGGGAGCGAACAGG